GGAGAGGUGGCAGAGUGGUCUAUCGCACCUGACUCGAAAUCAGGAGUGGGGGAAACUCCACCGUGGGUUCAAAUCCCACCCUCUCCGCCA
rnacentral:tRNA from 1 species